AUGUACCACUCGUACAUUCCGGUUCUGAGCGCGCCGUCCGCGCCCACCUGACAGCUGCUCGCUACGUUUUGUUAGCC
rnacentral:sRNA from 1 species